CGUAACAUAGUGAGGGUGAGGGAACUGGCCCUUGGAACAGGUCCGUCGGGCCUGGGGUUAAAAAAUAAUAAAACAAUGCAACUUGUUGAGGUGCUAAAUUUAUUCGGGAACAUGGA
rnacentral:rRNA from 1 species